GUCGAGCCAAGUUACCGGGUUGAUUUGGAGAAAAGGAUAUCAUGGCAAUUGGAUCAGGCUACAUUGAAGGAGUUAUUGAUUCCAUCAUUUGUUCAUACGUGUGGGACAUUAUUGGAUGUUGAACUUGUUCUUAGGUUGGUUAAGAGGUUUAUGAAUUUGGAUGAAAGUGUAAGAAGUGGAUCUGCUUUAAUUAAAGUUGCUAAACUUAUCGAUAAUUACUUAGCUGAAGCUGCUGUUGAUGCUAAUUUGACAUGGUCCGAGUUUUUUGGACUUGUU
rnacentral:misc_RNA from 1 species